UACGAAGGGUGCAAGCGUUACUCGGAAUCACUGGGCGUAAAGCGUGCGUAGGCGGUUCGUUAAGUCUGCUGUGAAAGCCCUGGGCUCAACCUGGGAACUGCAGUGGAUACUGGCGGACUAGAGUGUGAUAGAGGAUGGUGGGAUUCCCGGUGUAGCGGUGAAAUGCGUAGAGAUCGGGAGGAACACCAGUGGCGAAGGCAGCCCCCUGGGCUAGCACUGACGCUCAGGCACGAAAGCGUGGGGAGCAA
rnacentral:rRNA from 1 species